GUUGAAAAACCGGUUCCUGUACGAUCAACGAAGUUAAGCAACGUCGAGCGUGGUCAGUCCUUAGUUGGAUGACUGUUUGGGAAUACUAGGUGUU